rnacentral:rRNA from 1 species
CCUACGGGAGGCAGCAGUGAGGAAUAUUGGUCAAUGGACGAGAGUCUGAACCAGCCAAGUAGCGUGAAGGAUGACUGCCCUAUGGGUUGUAAACUUCUUUUAUAUGGGAAUAAAACGUUCCACGUGUGGGAUUUUGUAUGUACCAUAUGAAUAAGGAUCGGCUAACUCCGUGCCAGCAGCCGCGGUAAUACGGAGGAUCCGAGCGUUAUCCGGAUUUAUUGGGUUUAAAGGGAGCGUAGGUGGAUUGUUAAGUCAGUUGUGAAAGUUUGCGGCUCAACCGUAAAAUUGCAGUUGAAACUGGCAGUCUGGAGUACAGUAGAGGUGGGCGGAAUUCGUGGUGUAGCGGUGAAAUGCUUAGAUAUCACGAAGAACUCCGAUUGCGAAGGCAGCUCACUGGACCGCAACUGACACUGAGGCUCGAAAGUGUGGGUAUCAAACAGGAUUAGAUACCCCAGUAGUC